AGUCAUCAACCUCACCUGUUUUUUUUGUGCGGGUGUUGGUAGGAUCUGGGGGAUGCUGCCUGUGAAGGCUGCUCCCCUCAAAUGCAUCGGUUGGACCUGUGGGUCGAACUCGAACUGGGCGUUGUACCAUCCUCGCUCACCUGAGACGUCCCCUUCUGUGUCCUCCCAAGACUUGCCUCUGGAGUGGCGGUCAAACUAUACUUUGAAAU
rnacentral:misc_RNA from 1 species